CACACACCCCGCCCGACAGCCCGGCGCGGUCCCUGCCCUGGGUCGCCUGCGUUCCCACGGGCAGCCGGAGCGCACGGCCGGCUUGCAAAGGAUCUGCUGCACCCAGGGGCGGCCUCGGGAGCCUGGCCCCACGUGCGCCUCUGCCACCCCCUGUCCAGGGCACUGUGCUCCCCAGUAGGAUGCGCUCGGAAGGAAGCGAGGGGCCAACCCUGAGCCCCGCUCCGUCGGGCCCCGGGCGUGUCCCGGCUCCCCCAGCGGUUCCAAGGCUUUCGCUCGACGUCGCCUGUCCCUGUGGUAUCUGCUCCACUUUAUCACCACGGCUCUCCAUCCUCAGCACUGCCCAAUCUGCCUGACCCUGUAGGUACGCCCCAUGAGGGGCAGGCUCAUCUCGCCAGGGGCCAUGUUUAGUGUCUGCCUGUCACCAUCUCUGCACUGGUCCUACCUGCUGCCCUGUCCUCAGGAGUCCCCCAGCAGCUCUCUCCAGGUCUCAGAGUCCUGACCCCACUCUCUGGAAGGUGGGGAUUGUUAAACCCAUUUUGUGGCAUGGGGGAAAGGAGGUGACACAACUUGCUCCAACUUACACAGUUAGAGUAGGUGGAAGAGUCAGAAAGAGAACCCAGGAGUCCUGCCUGCCCAGUCUCCCGCGCUAGCUGCAAUACCAUGUGUUUGAGAGUGACUCAGCUGGCCUCAGAGCUCCAGACAGCACGUCCAGCUCCCCCGCCCCCACAUGGCUACCUGUGGGCACCUGCUCAGGGGACGUGAAAGCAGCGAGCCAGCUGAAGACGGGCACCUCCGAUCAGAGCCAAAGCGCAUUGAAGUCAAUGGAACGACUCCAGCUGGAUCAGAUCCCUAUCACUGCAAUGCCACGCUGGGCCCUGAGAGCUGCGGGUGCAGGUGUGGCACCUCUGGGAUCGAAGGCAAAAUCCUGGCAGCAGGCAGGCCAAAGCAAGGAGCCAGACUCACAAGACUCCAGCAGCCUCUGACACCCCUGUGGAAGGUCAUCGAUAAAGAUGUUAAAUAGCAAAGGGCCAAGAACCGACCCCUGCAGGACCCCACUGGAAACACAUCUACUUGAUGACGAGUCCCCAUUUCCAGUUACAAGUUGAAACCUACCCAUUACCCAGUUUUUAAUCCAUUUAAUGUUAUAUUGUUCUACCUUUUUAAUCCAAAUGUUGUGCACUACCAAGUCAUAGACCUUACAGAAAUCUAAGCAUAUUACAUCAACACUAUUACCUUUAUCAACCAAACUUGUAAUCUCAUCAAAAAAAGAUAUCAAGUUACUUUGACAUGAUCUGUUUUUCAUAAACUCACGUUGAUUUGCAUUAA